rnacentral:misc_RNA from 1 species
CAACCCUCAAGCUCUGCUUGGUGUUGGGGCCCUACGGCUGCCGUAGGCCCUGAAAGGAAGUGGCGGGCUCGCUACAACUCCGAGCGUAGUAAUUCAUUAUCUCGCUAGGGAGGUUGCGGCGUGCUCCUGCCGUUAAAGACCCAUCUUUAACCAA